rnacentral:lncRNA from 1 species
GAAAACAGUGUAAAAGGACUAUUUGGAGAAAAUCCCCCUAAAACUGCCUUACUUGGAGCAAAAGAGAGCAAGCCUGCCAAGUUGGAUUCAAGUCAAGCUAAAUGAGAAGAAAAUAUUUUGAAGCUUAAAUAAUGAAGCAAUUGGGCGGCCCAUUUCCGCAAGCUCAAAUCGAAGCCCAUUUACAAACACAUGGGCAGCGCACUUCCUCAGCUCGAGCUCUUCACGUGGACCCGCUUCAACUCAAGCCCACACACGCAGAUGACCCGCCUUCGCCAACACACAUGAGAUCCGCACGGGCCCGCCAAAGUCUUCAUCACCCAGCAUAUGGACACUUGCACGGGCCGCCACUUCGCCAUUCCUUCACGUGGACCCGCCAGUGCACAUGGCUUGCCUUCAAUGCCACUUCACUACUCACGCAAUUAGACAGCCCAUUUCACAAUCAAGGAUCAAGCAAGCACGUGGACCUGCACAUGGGCUCGCGCUUCCCCAUUCACUUCACAUGGACGUGGACCCAGCUCUUGCAACCAUGGACCCGCCACAACAAUUCACACCAUGCCCUCAAGUGGACCAAGCCGAGCAACAGCAACUCACGCACACGACCGCCAUUCCUGCACGUCACUCACACGAAUGGGACACACACACAUGGGACCGCUUAGACAGCGUCGGUGUUUCCAAAAUAGGGCGCUCCUCUGCACUUAUUUAAAGGCUCCUCAGUGCACAAUUGAAGACACAAUUCAAUUUCUCUCAAUUCGGCAGUUUCCUCCAACCUCGGCGCAAGGCUUCGGUUCUUUUCUUCUUUUCCCUUUUAUUUUUAUUUUUUUAUGUUUUUAAUUCAAUCGAUGAAUGGCUGAUUUCUUGAUCUAGUUGAAUAUUGGUUGAAGCUUUAGUUGAUAAAUGGAUUGUGAGACUUGAUCAAAUAUUGUUUAAUUUUUGGAAAUUCAAUAUUCAUGCAAUUUCGUAUUUAAUUUUCAUAUUAUUUUGUUAUUGAGAUAUACGUUGAUUUUUUAUUGCAAAAUAAUUAUUUGUUAGUUUGAAUAAUUUAAGUCCGUAAUUGCUUGGAUUAUUCUUACAUGAGGACACUUGAGAUAAAACCCAAGAAAAUUGUAUGAUCUAGCGUUAUCUCCAUACGUUUGGGUAGCUAGGAUUGGAUCUCUCUAUUUCUUAAUGUAAUUGACAAUUGUUUUGAUGCCUAAGGCCCAAGGACGUUCCUUGGCAAUUUGUUAAUUAGUAAUUAAUUAGAAGACGUUCCCUAAUUGGUUUAAUCAUAAAGAGAGAUAAUGAUGGUGAGAAGCGUCUUCCAUCUCCAUAACUAAUCUAUUGAAUCAACCCAAAAGAGCAAACUGUCUGUGAUCAAUCCCAACAACUAAAGUGGAUCCAAUACUUCAACUAGAACUUUCUCAUUAUUGAUUACUCUUUAUUUUAUUAUUUGCUUUCUAUUAUUAUUCUCAUUAUUAGUUUACUACAAUCAAUCUCAAAACUCCCUUGUUAUUUUGUUGACAGUUUUUUUUCCCAAUUUUUAGUUUAUCUCAUUUGAUCCCACUUUCAGUUUUUAUCUCAUUUUUAGUUUAUUAUUGUUCCAGUUUAUUUUCUUGGUCAUAAAAAGAGAAAUAGGUGAGUUCUCAAUUCUCUGUGGAUUUGAUCCUUUCACCACUAUCUGCAGUUGUAAAUUAUUGAUAACCAGAAAGGUUAUUUUUGACCGGCUUCGACAACCGCGAGUCAAAAAUUAGCGCCGUUGCCGGGGAAUUGAUUUAACUUAUUUGUUUCUCUUUCAGGACCUGAUCUGUAACCCAAAGAAUACCAUAUAGCAGAUCUGAAUUAAAAAAAAAAAGAAGAGAGCACACCAUCGCAGAUCAUGCUUGAGGACCUCCGGAAUCGCACCAAACCAUCGCAGAAUUGAUUCAUGGAUGAGGUAAGUACAUAUAAUCCCCCUUCUCAAAUUUCUGACCUAACCUCUAUUGUGAAAAGCUAUGUCAUAGCUCUACAGGAGCGACGACUUCAGCAGUCUCAACCAUGUAAGAUCUGUGAAUAUGUGGGACAUCUAACGUCCCAAUGUCCUACACUUUAUGAGGAUGACCAACCAGUUCAUGCAUAUGGAGGAUUCUAUGAAUAGCCAAGACAUGAUCCCUACCAUAAUACAUACAAUCCAUAUUGGGGAGACCAUCCGAAUUAUGGUUAUGCAAGGGACCAACAAGUACAUGCAUUUGAAGGAUUCUAUGAACAGCCAAGACAUGAUCCCUACCAUGACACAUACAAUUCAAUUUGGGAAGACCACCCAGACUUCAGUUAUACAGAGGCUAACAACUACCAGGAUAAUCAGCGUCUUGAGAAGAUGAUGGAGACAUUGGCAAUUUCUUUGCAAAGCCUCCAAGAGAAGGUGGAACGAUUUGCCACCGCAGAAAAUGAAAACAUGUUGAGAAGAGAGGAAGAGUUUCAAGAUGAUGAGGAAAGUUGGCAAGUACAAGAACAAGCUGCUGAAGAGACACAACUAGAAAACUGUUUGUCCAAACAAACUGAUCAAACAGAACCUGUUGAUAAUUUAGAUAUCAUUGAUUGUUUGAAUGAAAAUAUUUUUUUAUUAAGAUGAUAUACUAAAUGAUGAUCUUUGCAGGGAAGAGACUCAGAAAGAGCCAGAAUUGAAAGAAACUAACUGUUGCAUCCAACAGGUGAACUGCAGCCAAGCACAGACUGAAGAGAGCUUUGUCGCACCACUUCAGGAAGAACUUGCACAAACUGAAGCAAUGACUUUUCGGCCUCCGAACUCCACCAUCUUUCAGCCGCCGGACCCUGCACCUCAACUCCCAUCGCAAAUUGAAACCAUCCUUCGGCCGCCGAACUCAGCCAUCUUUCGGCCACCUAAUCCAACUACUCUUCAGCUUCCCUUUUAGUCAGAUCUUGCGCAAGAAGGAGCACUUGAAAACCUUUCAGUCCAUGCUCACAAGGAACAAAUAGUAUUCCAAGCACCUAAACCAAAGGAUCAUGAGGAUCAAUGCCUUCCCAAACCUCCGAAUAAGGUAGAGUUUGUUUUGCCUGCACUUAAUGCUAAAUUGCAGCUAGCCAUAGAGAAACAUGAAUUGGAGUUCAAAGUGCUUCCCAAUCAUCUAAAAAAUGCAAACAUAAAGGCUAGAGGCACACCUCAUCUGAAAGAGGAGAAGCUAAUCAUGUUGCUUCAUGAGUACAUGGAAAAAUUAGGAUGGGCAAUGAUCAAAUCAAAAGGAGUGCUACACUUUUUGUUCAAUGCAGUUGGGACUCUUUUCUCUUCCCCAAUUACUUGAGUCUUGAUCAAGUGGAUCACACCAUGCACACCACACCCAGGGGAGUACUCUGUUUCCUUUGUUCUUUUAUGUUUCUAUUACAUUGAGGACAAUGCAUGAUUUAGGUGUGGGGGUGCAUAUUUCUGAAUUUUUAUUUUUUGAGUUUAUUUUUGCUUUGAUUUUUAGUUUGCUUACAUUAGUGGAAAUUUUUCAUUUUUGCUUUCAAUAACACACACAGAUAGCCACAUUUUUUAUUUAUUUAUUUUUGUUUCCGUUUUUUUUGAGAUGCUUUACUCAUCAUAUAGACCAUGUUGGAUGAGCCUUUCUUUCCAUGACCCCAUUGAUGUGAUAACUCUUUAAACUUAUGUUGAAUCAAUUGCAGUGAGUUAUAUUCAUGUUUGAGAAUUGCCUUUUGAAUUGAAUCUUUGAGUUUGCCAUGGUGAAAAAUAUAUUGAUGACAUUCAUUAGAGAGAAUAAAUUGAAAUUGUAUGAAUGAACUUAACAUGACUUGAUUCAGCAAUUGGUGUUGAUUUGCCCAAAUCAUUGAGAGAAAGAAAUUCACAAAGGCUUAGACUUCAAAAGCACAAAUUGAAAAUUGUUCCAAUGGUCAAAAGACUAUGAACAGAGCUAGUAGCCACUUGGAUAGGUGACCAACUGAGUAACUGGGGGUGGGUAUCACAAAUAUGUACCUUCACGUCAAAAGGUUGGUGACUUGUUCAAGCAAAAUUAAAAGUGCAAAAAGCUGAAUAAAGUACUUCAAGGUAAGGCCAAGUCAUUCUGAAAGUUAGAAAAAGUCUUAUCUAAACAAUUAAUAUGUGCAUGCAUGAUCUCUCUCUUGAGUAAAACAAAUUCCAGCCAUGGUAAGUAAAGGGAAACAAGGAAAGAAGGUGAGUAAUCUUCAUGCAUAUAUUCCUCACUGUAAUGAUUCAAAAUAGGGGUCUAGAGUAAGAGUUUAAGUGGAAAUAAGGAUCUAGAGUGAGAAAGCUUAUUUGACUAUAUUUAUUUGCUUGAGGACAAGCAAAAGGCUAUGUGUGGGGGUAUUUGAUAGAGCAUAAUUUAGUUCAUUUUAUAUUAAUAUUAUUGAUGAAUAUUUACAUGAUUUCUGCUUAAUUUAGUGCUUUUAAUAUUAUUUUGCAAAAAACAGUGUAAAAUGACUAUUUGGAGAAAAUCCCCCUAAAACUGCCUUACUUGGAGCAAAAGAGAGCAAGCCUGCCAAGUUGGAUUCAAGUCAAGCUAAAUGAGAAGAAAAUAUUUUGAAGCUUAAAUAUUGAAGCAAUUGGGCGGCCCAUUUCCGCAAGCUCAAAUCGAAGCCCAUUUACAAGCACAUGGGCAGCGCACUUCCUCAGCUCGAACUCUUCACGUGGACCCGCUUCAACUCAAGCCCACACGCGUAGAUGACCCGCCUUCGCCAACGCACAUGAGAUCCGCACGGGCCCCCCAAAGUCUUCAUCACCCAGCAUAUGGACACUUGCACGGGCCGCCACUUCGCCAUUCCUUCACGUGGACCCGCCAGCUCACAUGGCUCGCCUUCAACGCCACUUCACUACUCACGCAAUUGGACAGCCCAUUUCACAAUCAAGGAUCAAGCAAGCACGUGGACCUGCACAUGGGCUCGCGCUUCCCCAUUCACUUCAUAUGGACGUGGACCCAGCUCUUGCAAGCAUGGACCCGCCACAACAAUUCACGCCAUUCCCUCAAGUGGACAAAGCCGAGCAACAGCAACUCACGCACACGACCGCCAUUCCCGUACGUCACUCACACGAAUGGGACACACACACGUGGGACCGCUUAGACAGCAUCGGUGUUUCCAAAAUAGGGCGCUCCUCUCAACUUAUUUAAAGGCUCCUCAGUGAACAAUUGAAGACACAAUUCAAUUUCUCUCAAUUCGGUAGUUUCCUCCAGCCUCGGCGCAAGGCUUCGGUUCUUUUCUUCUUUUCCCUUUUAUUUUUAUUUUUUUAUGUUUUUAAUUCAACCGAUGAGUGGCUGAUUUCUUGAUCUAGUUGAAUAUUGGUUGAAGUUUUAGUUGAUAAAUGGGUUGUGAGACUUGAUCAAAUAUUGUUUAAUUUUUGGGAAUUCAAUAUUCAUGCAAUUUCGUAUUUAAUUUUCAUAUUAUUUUGUUAUUGAGAUCUACGUUGAUUUUUGAUUGCAAAAUAAUUAUUUGUUAGUUUGAAUAAUUUAAGUCCGUAAUUGCUUGGAUUAUUCUUACAUGAGGACAAUUGGAAUAAAACCCAAGGAAAUUGUAUGAUCUAGCGUUAUCUCCAUAUGUUUGGGUAGCUAGAAUUGGAUCUCUCUAUUUCUUAAUGCAAUUGACAAUUGUUUUGAUGCCUA